AUGAAUAGUAAUGGCAGGUCAGUGAACUCGGAUAAUUAUAAUGGUAUAGAUCCAAUUAAAAAAAAAGUCUGCAGGCUCCGCCGCCUCGCGGCCCUCCGGCCGCCGCCAUCGCCGCGUGCGGCCGCUUCUGUGGAGGCGGGGGCGGCCUCCUAUUCCUCCAAGUCCACCUCCAUCCCUCAGAAGCAGCAGCGCGUCCGCGACCACGCCUUCGACGGCAUCAUGGAGGUCCAGAAGCGCGUCCGCCGCUUCCACGCCCUCCACUCCCUCCUCCUCUACGCCGCCGCCCCGACCGCGGCCUCCCGCGGCGGCGGAAGCGGCGCCGUGUCCGUCCCCUUCACCCGCCUCGGCGCCCUCGCGCGCCGCCAGCUCCGCCUCGCGCCCCUCGACGCCGGCCGCUUCCUCUUGCGCCACGCGCACGCCUUCCACCUCUUCCUCCACCCCGUCCACCGCAUGCUCCACGCCCGCCUCACCCCGCGCGCCGCCGCGGCGCUCCGUGUCGAGGCCGAGGCUGUCGCCGCCGCCCUCCGUUCCGCGUCCGUCAUCCGCCUCCGCAAGCUCCUCCUCCUCGCGCCCCCGCGCCGCCGCCUCCGCCUCGAGCACAUCCACCUCCUCCGCCGCGACCUCGGCCUCCCCUAUGAUUUCGCCGAAUCUGUUAUCCAGUCCAACCCCUCCCUCUUCCGCCUCACCCCCGAUGGCUACGUCGAGUUCCUGCCCUCCCCCACAGACCCGCCCGACCUCACACCGUCACCGCGGUCGAGCGCGCUCGGGAGCGCCACUACCGCGAGCACCGCGCACCCGGCUCAGGCGAGGAGGAUGCGCGUUUUGCGUUCCCCAUCCGCUUCCCGCCUGGGUUUAAGAUCGGCAAGUACUUCCGGAUUGCUGUCUGGAAAUGGCAGCGCCUCCCCUACGCGUCACCCUACGCGGACGUCUCGGGACAUGACCUGCGCUCACUUGAGGCUCAACGCCGCAUGGAGAAGCGAGCGGUUGCUGCCGUCCAUGAGCUGCUCUCGCUCACUGUCGAGAAGCGCACUACACUGGAGCGCCUUGCGCUGUUCCGGGAGGCACUCGGUGUGCCCAAGAAGAUCAAGGAAUUCUUGCUCAAGUAUCAGGGCAUAUUUUACAUAUCCACCAGGGGAAAUCAGGGGAAGCUGCAUACAGUGUUCCUUAGGGAGGCGUAUUACAAGGGGGAGCUUCUUGAGCCAAAUGGGAUACACGAGGCAAGAAGGAAGCUGGAGGAGCUGCUCAUGAUCAGCCCACAGAAGGCGAAUUUGGACCCGAUGUUCACCAGCAUGGGUCGUGGAUGGGAUGAGCUUGGUGGUGGUCGCUGUGGUGGAGCUCAAUUGAGGGACGAGUUUCUUGGGAAUGGAGGUGGACAGAAAAAGCAUGCUGAUACUGAUGGUGCUGAUAGUGGGGAGGACUCGAGUGUUGAAUCACUCUACAUUGGUUGAGGAAUAGAAACAUAUGGUGGCAUUGGGCAUCGACUUGGAAGGGAACAAUCACUGCCCCCAUUUGGGGAAAGGUUAACUUCAUGUAUUGGUAACAUCACUCUACAUCUGAUUGGAAGUCUCCAAAAGGAGCAGAGUCUAAGGUGAAAACUGAUGGCACCUUGAACUGGGGGGAAGUGAAAACCCUAUGUGCUAUAAUGGUUGGAUGGCUCCUCCCCUUGCACUCCAUCAUGUGAAGCAUGCGAAGACAGAUUUCAGGGGCAGGAGAACACCUUUCAGAACUCAGAGCUUUUGCUUCUAAGCUUAAUUGGUUAAGUGCUGUGAGUACUCUAUCACAUGGAGUGGAUCUCUAUCUUUGUUUGGCCCACUGAAAACCGGUGUACAUUUAGAAAUUAACAUUAGCUAUUUGAUUGUUGUCUUGAUUCUUCCUUGCACUAUGUAUGCAAACCAUUAAAAUGUUGUGGGUAAUAACACCAAUAGGGAUGUGCUUAUCUGAAUCCACUCAUUAUGAACAGAGUGAAUAAACUAUUGGAAAGGGAAACAAACACAAUAUAGGUACUUCUUUAUUCAUUGAAGUAAAGGGCUAGAGGCAAUCUUUUAUUUCAAAACUAAUCUUUGUCAUGCUACAUUUGCACUGGUUGAAUGAUUGUUUUACAUUACACUAUUGCCUGCCAUUGGUUGUUUUCUUUCUCCCUCCCUCUCUCUCUUGCUAUAUCAUGAGUAACAUAUUUUGGAGGUCCAAUGGUUGGGCCAUAAAAAUUUGUAGAUGUUGAUUUUAAUCUAUCAGUAAUACAUGCAAAGUUUUAGGGGUAACUGUUGGGUACAUUUUUGCUUCCAUAUAGACCAAUAACCUUAUGUUUGGCCCUAUGCCAGUUUUUCUGAUGUAAUCAGAGCUUGUAGAUUGGGCCGGGAUUUAGGUCAGUCCUUGCUAUAUACUUAUGUACUUCGCAGAGGGUUGUUGCAUUUGACUUGCAGUGUUUAUGCGUCACCAUUCAGUUGAUUUGUAUGUCCAAAGCCCAUUGGAAUAGCUGUUUACUGAGCAAGUCUAACCUGAUUGUGAGGUUCAGUUCAGUAGAAGAAAGGCUCAACUCUUGGCUGCUAAUAGCCUAAUACUUCAUCAGCUAAAUGAUGUAAGUCAGUUCUUUUGCUUCAUUUAUACUCUAUACUCAGUAAAAGGAGGUUGCUAUUAUCUGCGAUGCAACUGUAAAUCGACUGAUCAGCAUCAUCAUGCUUGCUAAGUAGCUGACUGAAACCUGCUAAAGAAAUGCUUCUAUUGCACUCAGAGACACUGUAGCUGCACGCCAAACAUACAAACCUACUCGGCUUUAGUGAUCUUUCUGACAUUGGUCCUAUCAUAUAUGUCUACAGCCCCUUGAUUAUCAGCUGGGACUCUUUCACUUUCCUGUUCAAACUAAAGAAUAAUAGAAAAAACCAACAAAUGUUUUGAUCUGAAUGUCAGUGCAAAGCUUGUCGUUGAUGCAGUGAACCGAGCUUUUCGGGACUGAAGGAACAAUCCAUAGACACAGCAGAAGGCCACAAUGAAACCUGAGUACAAACUGUACCUGACUAGUCUAUUCAGUUUGGAACAGAAUGAUGAAGGUUCUUGUAGCACUGCAGUUGGUUUUAUUCAGGUCUGGUCAAGUGUUGGCUUGAAGCCGGAUGUCAUGCUGAUAGGCCAUGGUCAUGGCCUCAUGGGUGGUCUGUGUUGUCACUGUUGGACCUCUGCCCUAUACACUGAGUUGGUGCCCAUAGUCAAUCGACGUGUCUAGUGGUGCUUGUGUUACUCUGUAGUACUAUCAUUUUAAAGGUCCCAACUGCAGCUACAAAAACAAAACCUUAGGGCCAGUAGUUGGUAUAUGAUGUCACGUACAGUUAUCAUGCCUCAGAUUUUCUGGAAAAUAUAAUGUGCCCUAAAGAUGCUGUGAUUUCCAAAAAUUGUUACUCUGAUCACUGCCCUGAAGGUGUGAUUUCCAAAGCGUUGAUUUUUGGAAUUUUUUUAAGCAUGGAUGACAAGCUUGGUUUGCAAAGAUUGUUUUACUGAUUCAUUCAAUAAUACUUGAAUAAUAAUAAUAAUAAUAAUAAUAAUAAUAAUAAUAAUAAUAAUAAUAAUAAUAAUAAUAAUAAUAGCACCGAAUUUCAUUGUAUUUAGACCUAAACUAACUUGCCACUUGACAUUGUCAGGUCUUGCUGCAAAUAGCAAUAAUAAUCUUGGUAUGGUUUGUCAAAAUAUAAUAUUUUUCAGAAUAUAGGUCUUGUUUGCUCUCAAGCUAUGUCCCACCUGUCUACCUGCUACUAUUUUUAGAUGCUAGCGGAUAAUGGUCUAUUUCCCGUUUGAUUUAUUUUUUGGGAGCAGUGGCUGAGGGAUAUUGUCUUGUCCAUCUAUCAGGCUCAAACUUCGUUUUAAUAUGCGAAACUGCAGAAGAUUGAAAUGCACAGAACGGCCCACGUUACGCAUGAUCCAGAUGACACAUCGAGUGUCUUGUUAUAGCGUCUCGCGCAUAGCUAAUCACAUUUCUGGAAUGAUCCACACAAAGAGAUGUGCCAUGUGUUCUGCACGAUAACCAUCAGUUGUGGUGGAGGUUCAUAUAUGUUUCUUAUACUAGCUGGAUUCUCUUGGGGUGACAGGUAUGUUGGAGUUAAGAGCUAAUGGACAUUGUAUGCAGGCUUGUUUGGUGUGGUUUAGAGUAACUGCUGUCACUGUUGAGCCUCCGCAAUUGGUGGCUUGGAUUGAUCCACGGCUAGCAUGGCACAAGCCUACCCCAUCAUUUGAGGUGAUUCAAUGGCAUUAGGCUCUGAUCUGGGAGGCAGGGAGGGAUCAGGAAGCUGACGCGGAUGCCCCGUACCCGUACAGUUUGCGCUGCGGUCAAGGAGGCCAUGGUCGGAGGAUCUCGAGCUCCAGAAAUUUUUAAACAGCAAACCAGUGGACUUUGGUGUUGCCAGCGUCAAUCAAACCUGAUGUAACUUGUGCUGAAUCUUCUUGUUCGCCUGUGAAGAAAUGAAACCCAGAACAAGCUGCUGGUCCAUAGCUGCAUGACUUUUCCCAACCGGCCGUCCCAGGCAGUGAGUGAGUAAUCCUCGUGCCCACGGCCGUCAGAUCGAGCAGUCUGCUGCAGUUGUACUCCAUCGGAUUCCAAGCGUCCGAGUAGCGUGUUGGACUACUGCAACUGGUCAAGGGUGCAUUUGUAAUUGCAUUUGCUACCGCUGAUGCUGCCCGCGGUCCCGGUGCUUGUUGAUGUUUGCCUUCGUGGAUGAACACCUGCAGCUGGCCUGCUGGGCGCGCCCUGGAGUGGAGCUCGGCAGCUCGCAAAGCUCCUGUGCAUGGAUCUAGCUAGUGGGCAGUGGCGAUUUGUGCAGGGAAGCUUGGAACUACUGUUUGUGAACAGCUCACGCGAAUGGUUUUUCUUCUCUCUUUCUGCUCGGGAACUGAAAUACAUGGAUGGAUACCUCCAGUUAUGAAAUGCUAAAAUGGUGUCCCACUAGCUUACAAUGACAA